CUUUAGUUCUUCUUCUCCUUUAGUUCUUCUUCUCCUUUAGUUCUUCUUCUUCUCCUUUAGUUCUUCCUCUCUUCUCCUUUAGUUCAUCCUCUCUUCUCAUUUAGUUCAUCCCCUCUUCUCCUUUAGUUCUUCUUCUUCUCCUUUAGUUCUUCCUCUCUUCUCCUUUAGUUCAUCCUCUCUUCUUUAGUUCUUCUUCUCCUUUAGUUCUUCCUCUCUUCUCCUUUAGUUCUUCUUCUCCUUUAGUUCUUCUUCUUUUCUCCUUUAGUUCUUCUUCUCCUUUAGUUCUUCUUCUUCUCCUUUAGUUCUUCCUCUCUUCUCCUUUAGUUCAUCCUCUCUUCUCCUUUAGUUCUUCCGAUCUUCUCCUUUAGUUCAUCCCCUCUUCUCCUUUAGUUCUUCUUCUUCUCCUUUUGUUCUUCCUCUCUUCUCCUUUAGUUCUUCUUCUCCUUUAGUUCUUCUUCUCCUUUAGUUCUUCUUCUCCUUUAGUUCUUCCUCUCUUCUCCUUUAGUUCAUCCUCUCUUCUCAUUUAGUUCAUCCCCUCUUCUCCUUAAGUUCUUCUUCUUCUCCUUUAGUUCUUCCUCUCUUCUCCUUUAGUUCAUCCUCUCUUCUUUAGUUCUUCUUCUCCUUUAGUUCUUCCUCUCUUCUCCUUUAGUUCUUCCUCUAUUCUCUUUUAGUUCUUCUUCUCCUUUAGUUCCUCCUCUCUUCUGUAGUUCUUCUUCUCCUUUAGUUCAUCCCAUCUUCUCCUUUAAUUCUUCCUCUCUUCUUUAGUUCAUCAUCUCUUCUCCUUUAGUUCUUCUUCUUCUCCUUUAGCUCUUCCUCUCUUCUUUAGUUCUUCUUCUCCUUUAGUUCAUCCCCUCUUCUCCUUUAGUUCUUCCUCUCUUCUCCUUUAGUUCUUCUUCUUCUCCUUAAGUUCUUCCUCUCUUAUCUAUUCUUAUUCUUCUCCUUUAGUUCUUCCUCUCUUCUCCUUUAGUUCAUCCCCUCUUCUCCUUUAGUUUUUCCUCUCUUCUCCUUUAGUUCUUCUUCUUCUCCUUUAGUUCUUCUUCUUCUCCUUUAGUUCUUCCUCUCUUCUCCUUUAGUUCUUCUUCUCCUUUAGUUCAUCCCCUCUUCUCCUUUAGUUCUUCCUCUCUUCUCCUUUAGUUCUUCUUCUUCUCCUUUAGUUCUUCCUCUCUUCUCUUUUAGUUCUUCUUCUCCUUUAGUUCCUCCUCUCUUCUGUAGUUCUUAUUCUCCUUUAGUUCAUCCCAUCUUCUCCUUUAAUUCUUCCUCUCUUCUUUAGUUCAUCAUCUCUUCUCCUUUAGUUCUUCUUCUUCU
rnacentral:lncRNA from 1 species